rnacentral:rRNA from 1 species
AGAGUUUGAUCCUGGCUCAGGACGAACGCUGGCGGCGUGGAUUAGGCAUGCAAGUCGAACGGUAGAUACUCCUUCGGGGGUAUUGAGAGUGGCGAACGGGUGAGUAACACGUAGAUGAUCUACCCUCAAAUGGGGGACAACCCAGGGAAACUUGGGCUAAUACCGCAUGAGUGCAGCGCAUAAAUUAUCUUUUGCUGGGUAAUUUAUGCGCUGUAUAAAAGAUGGCUUUCGGGCUGUCGUUUGGGGAUGAGUCUGCGUCCUAUUAGUUAGUUGGUGAGGUAAUGGCUCACCAAGGCGAUGAUAGGUAGGCGGCCUUAACGGGUGGCCGCCCACACUGGGAUUGAGAUACGGCCCAGACUCCUACGGGAGGCAGCAGUCGAGAAUAGUCUACAAUGGACGAAAGUCUGAUAGUGCGACGCCGCGUGAACGAAGAAUCCCUUCGGGGUGUAAAGUUCUUUUAUAUGUGAGCAAUGCUUUUUAUGUGAAUAGCAUGAGAAGAGAGAUAUUAGCAUAUGAAUAAGCAACGGCUAACUCCGUGCCAGCAGCCGCGGUAACACGGGGGUUGCAAGCGUUGUCCGGAAUUACUAGGCGUAAAGGGCAGGUAGGCGGAUCCAUAAGUUUGAUGUUAAAGGCAGCGGCUCACCCGCUGUACGGCGUCAGAUACUGUGGAUCUGGAAUGCGGUUGGGGAAGACAGAAUUCCUGGUGUAGCGGUGGAAUGCGCAGAGAUCAGGAGGAAUACCAAAGGCGAAGGCAGUCUUCUAAGCCGUUAUUGACGCUAAACUGCGAAGGUGUGGGUAUCAAACAGGAUUAGAUACCCUGGUAGUCCACACAGUAAACGAUAAUCACUAGGUGUCGGGUUCGUAGAGAAUUCGGUGCCGUAGCUAACGCGAUAAGUGAUUCGCCUGGGGAGUACGAUCGCAAGGUUGAAACUCAAAGGAAUUGACGGGGGCCCGCACAA